rfam:Dipodomys ordii contig_37775, whole genome shotgun sequence.
GGGAAGGUAGCUCAGUGGUAGAGCACUUGCCUUGCAUGCUCGAGGCCCUGGGUUCGAUUCCCCAGCACCA